CCUACGGGGGGCAGCAGUGAGGAAUAUUGGUCAAUGGGCGCGAGCCUGAACCAGCCAAGUCGCGUGAGGGAAGACGGUCCUAUGGAUUGUAAACCUCUUUUGUCGGGGAGCAAAAGACGCCACGCGUGGCGUUCCGAGAGUACCCGAAGAAAAAGCAUCGGCUAACUCCGUGCCAGCAGCCGCGGUAAUACGGAGGAUGCGAGCGUUAUCCGGAUUUAUUGGGUUUAAGGGGUGCGCAGGCGGAGGAUCAAGUCAGCGGUAAAAUUGAGAGGCUCAACCUCUUCGAGCCGUUGAAACUGGUUGUCUUGAGUGAGCGAGAAGUAUGCGGAAUGCGUGGUGUAGCGGUGAAAUGCAUAGAUAUCACGCAGAACUCCGAUUGCGAAGGCAGCAUACCGGCGCUCAACUGACGCUCAUGCACGAAAGUGUGGGUAUCGAACAGGAUUAGAUACCCCAGUAGUC
rnacentral:rRNA from 1 species